UACGUAGGGUGCAAACGUUGUUCGGAAUCACUGGGCUUAAAGGGCGCGUAGGCGGGCCAGCCAGUCUGUGGUGAAAGCCUCCAGCUUAACUGGAGAAGUGCCGUGGAUACUGCUGGCCUCGAGGAGGAUAGGGGCAUCUGGAACGGUCGGUGGAGCGGUGAAAUGCGUUGAUAUCGACCGGAACUCCGGUGGCGAAGGCGGGUCUCUGGGCCGUUACUGACGCUGAGGAGCGAAAGCGUGGGGAGCGAACAGG
rnacentral:rRNA from 1 species